rnacentral:rRNA from 1 species
UACGUAGGGUGCAAGCGUUGUCCGGAAUUAUUGGGCGUAAAGAGCUCGUAGGCGGUUUGUCGCGUCUGCUGUGAAAACUCGGGGCUUAACCCCGGGCCUGCAGUGGGUACGGGCAGACUAGAGUGCGGUAGGGGAGACUGGAAUUCCUGGUGUAGCGGUGGAAUGCGCAGAUAUCAGGAGGAACACCGAUGGCGAAGGCAGUUCUCUGGGCCGUAACUGAUGCUGAGGAGCGAAAGCGUGGGGAGCAAACAGG